GAUGAACGCUGGCGGCGUGCCUAAUACAUGCAAGUCGAGCGAACAGACGAGGAGCUUGCUCCUCUGACGUUAGCGGCGGACGGGUGAGUAACACGUGGAUAACCUACCUAUAAGACUGGGAUAACUUCGAGAAACCGGAGCUAAUACCGGAUAAUAUAUUGAACCGCAUGGUUCAAUAGUGAAAGACGGUUUUGCUGUCACUUAUAGAUGGAUCCGCGCCGCAUUAGCUAGUUGGUAAGGUAACGGCUUACCAAGGCAACGAUGCGUAGCCGACCUGAGAGGGUGAUCGGCCACACUGGAACUGAGACACGGUCCAGACUCCUACGGGAGGCAGCAGUAGGGAAUCUUCCGCAAUGGGCGAAAGCCUGACGGAGCAACGCCGCGUGAGUGAUGAAGGUCUUCGGAUCGUAAAACUCUGUUAUUAGGGAAGAACAAAUGUGUAAGUAACUAUGCACGUCGUGACGGUACCUAAUCAGAAAGCCACGGCUAACUACGUG
rnacentral:rRNA from 1 species